AGAGUUUGAUCCUGGCUCAGGAUGAACGCUGGCGGCGUGCUUAACACAUGCAAGUCGAACGAAGCAGCAUGGAACGAAUCUUCGGAGGAGGGAAAUGGUGACUGAGUGGCGGACGGGUGAGUAACGCGUGGGUAACCUGCCUCGUACAGGGGGACAACAGUUGGAAACGACUGCUAAUACCGCAUAAGCGCACGAUACUGCAUGGUAUUGUGUGAAAAACUGAGGUGGUACGAGAUGGACCCGCGUCUGAUUAGCUGGUUGGUGGGGUAACGGCCUACCAAGGCGACGAUCAGUAGCCGGCCUGAGAGGGUGACCGGCCACAUUGGGACUGAGACACGGCCCAAACUCCUACGGGAGGCGGCAGUGGGGAAUAUUGCACAAUGGGGGAAACCCUGAUGCAGCGACGCCGCGUGAAGGAAGAAGUAUUUCGGUAUGUAAACUUCUAUCAGCAGGGAAGAAAAUGACGGUACCUGAGUAAGAAGCCCCGGCUAACUACGUG
rnacentral:rRNA from 1 species